rnacentral:rRNA from 1 species
AGAGUUUGAUCCUGGCUCAGGACGAACGCUGGCGGCGCGCCUAACACAUGCAAGUCGAACGGGACUGUUCUCUCGGAAUUGUUCGGAUGGAACAUUGGACAGUUCACUGGUGAAUGGGUGAUUUACGCGUGAGUCACCUGCCCUUCAUAGGGGGACAACAGUUGGAAACGACUGCUAAUACCGCAUAAGCCCACGGCUACCACAUGGUACAGUGAGAAAAGGAGAUAUCCGCUGAUACAUGGACUCGACGUCUGUAUUAGAUAGUUGGUGACGGUAACGGCCUACCACGUCGACGAUCAGUAGCCGGACUGACAGGUUGAACGGCCACAUAGGGACUGAAAGACCGUCCAGACUCCUACGGGAAGCAAUAUUGGGGAAUAUUGCACAAUGGGGGGAACCCUGAUGCAGUGACGCCUCAUGAACGAAUAAGGUAUUCGUAUCGUAAACUUCUGUCUCAGAUGACGAUCAGAUGGCGGUAAUCUGGUACAUAGCACCGUGCUAGAUACGUGCCACCAGUCGCGGUAAAACGUAUGGUGCUAACGUUGUCCGGAAUUACUGGGUGUAUAGGGAGCGCAGGUGGCAUUGCAAGUAGAAUGUACAAUCUACGGGCUCUACCCGUAUAAGCAUUCAAAAGUGUGCAGCUUGAGUGAACUAGAGGUACGUGGAAUUUCCGGUGUAUCGGUGGAAUGCGUAGAUAUCGGAAGGAACAUCAGUGGCGAAGGCGACUUACUGGGGUUUAACUGACGCUGAGGCUCGAAAGCAUGGGUAGCAAACAGGAUUAGAUACCCUGGUAGUCCAUGCUGUAAACGAUGAAUACUAGGUGUGGGUGCGAAAGGUUCCGUGCCGGAGUUAACACAAUAAGUAAUCCACCUGGGGAGUACGACGGCAAGGUUGAAACUCAAAGGAAUUGACGGGGGCCCGCACAAGCAGUGGAGUAUGUGGUUUAAUUCGAAGCUACGCGAAGAACCUUACCAGGUCUUGACAUCGUGCGCAUAGGCAAGAGAUUGCUGAAAUCACUCUUUGAGUGACGUAUAGACAGGUGGUGCAUGGUCGUCGUCAGCUCGUGAUCGUGAGAUGUUGGGUUAAGUCCGGCAACGAGCGCAACCCUUAUCAUUAGUUAGUACGAAAGAGGACUUUAAUGAGACUGCCGUUGAGAAGACGGAGGAAGGUGGGGAUGACGUCAAAUCAUCAUGCCCCUUAUGAUCUGGGGUACACACGUAGUACAAUGGCUGUCAACAGAAGUGAACCAUAUACGCGAGUAAGAGGGAUACACAAAACACAUUCACAGUUCGGAUUGUAGGUUGCAACUGGCCUACAUGAAGCCGGAAUUGUUAGUAUUGGCGGAUCAGCAUGCCGCGGUGAAUACGUUCNCCGGGCCCUUGUACACACGGCCCGU